AGCUUUGUGCAGUGACAAUAUGGUAGCCAAUCAGGUUUAUCCUAGGUGCAGUUAUUGCUAAUUGAAAACUUUUCCAGUAGCCUGCCAUGACAACUUGCAAGAUAGUCAGCACUGGCAAUUUUUGACAGUCACUAUGGAGA
ensembl:snRNA U4 U4 spliceosomal RNA